ACUUAUUUAAAAUAUGGGUCAAUUUGCUUUUUAAUUUGGCACAUUUCUAUCUAAAAGUUGUAUUGUAUCAUGUAUUUAUUCAUUUAUUUUCAUACAUUAAAUUAUUAACUCUCUUUUUUUUCUUUCUUACGAUGUCUCCAAAUCUGACAAAUUAAGGGGUAAUCUAUUACGACUAAUUCAAGUUGGUUCAACUCUCUCUUUUCUGUUAUUUGUUAUUACGCUUUAUUUAAUGUUGUUUGCCAUAUUAUCUAAAUGGAAAGUUUAGGGGGCCAGCAGUUUUGUUGAAUUUUAGCCAGCAUGUAGCCAGCAGAAAAAUGUGAGUCAUUAGAUGAAAUCUCACACCAAUCGCACACCAUUAAAUCAUCAUUGAUGGCUAUUUAAUGGCUACCAAUCACAAAAGUUGUUGGUCCCCUAGCAUUGCUC